rnacentral:lncRNA from 1 species
UAUUAAUGAUAAUACUAAGUAACUAAACUCUUAAUAAUACCCAAUCUUAGUUACUUAGGAAAAAUGUGAAUAAGGUGCUAAUCCAUGAAAUUACACUUUACACUUUGUCUAAGUCGUUAGUGGAGCGUGUGUGGUUAACCGGCACACUAACUUGGACUUAACAAGGUAGGUAAAGGGUGACUUAAUAUUUAUCAUAGUAUCGAUGGAGCGUGUGUGGUUAACCGGCACAUCGAUUGAGGGGUAAUUUAUUAAGGGUACCAAGUGAUUUGCAUGGUUACUUCACACCUUGUUUUGUGAUCCUCGGCAUCCCAGUCACAAAACCUGAAGGGCACACUCGAGAUUGAAACAUGCCUUUGAAAAGUUCAAUGAAUCUCAAAGAUCUAGGAGUUUCAAAACCAAUUAAAACCUAAUAAUACAUUUCGUUUAUCUUGGUGGAAAUUGGUGAAUCGUCAUUCACCUACCUUCAAAUAUUUUAUAGCUUGGAUUACGGCAUACCUCUUCUAAGUUAUAAAAUAGUUUGUUGGGUCCUAGCCUUAAUAUUUCAUAUUGGGUGUCAUAUUAAGGACUUUAAAUCAACUAUCUUGAAUAUCUCCCAAAAGAUGUCUGGUUUAGACACCUAUGAUCUUCCCAAAUCUCUUGAAACAAGGUUUCCUAAUGAAGAUGAUGUCCCAUGGAUAUCAUACUUCUUCACCUCUUCAAAUUAUUCUCCCUAACCCACAAGUUCUUGAAAAGUUUAAGGUCACUCAGGCCCUAUUAGCAAGGCAAGGUCUAGGUGUGGUCACAUCUUGGAGAUGUAGUCACAUAUUGACAAGCCGGGAGAGUUGGGUGUCAAAGUCUUGAGAAAGUUGGUGGUUCAAUCACUUUCUAAGUCACAUAGUGAGUUCCUUUGGGACACCUAUGAAACAGACUAUGACAAGACCCUUAAUGAUCUUAUCUAUUUGCUAAGAUCAACUUCCUAAAACUUUAUGGACAUUGACAAUGAUGACACUUGAAAUCCAGAAAAAGCAUUCUCUUCCCAAUGGAAAGGGAUCGGCCAUAGUCAACUCGGUUGAGCAAAUGGUAAAGAGAAAAGCUAAGUCUGUGAUAGUCCCGCAUAUCAUUAUUAAAGGGUCCAUAUGUUUAUAUUGCCAAAGGAAGGGGCAUUAGUUGCGAAGCUGCCAAUUUUACCUAAGGAUGUUAAAGUCAAUAAGUUUGACCCUACUUCAGGUAAAGUCCACCAUCUACCUCUGCUAAGUUUCUAUUAUGACAUUCUUGAUACAUGAUGUGACUGGGUCACAUGUUGAUGUUUUUAAGAAUCAAAGAAAAAGUGAAGAAACUUAAAGAAAGAAUAUGUUGAAUCUGAUCACGUAGAUGGAUUUCUAUCGCAUAGUUUGAAGAUCGAAUUCUUGAGCUACUUCUUAGGAGUUAUGAGAUAUUGCUUAGGAAUAGAUAACAACAAGUUUUCAUAUGGAUUGUAAGGAUAAGUUUUUCCACAAAGUUUUNNNNNNNNNNNNNNNNNNNNNNNNNNNNNNNNNNNNNNNNNNNNNNNNNNNNNNNNNNNNNNNNNNNNNNNNNNNNNNNNNNNNNNNNNNNNNNNNNNNNNNNNNNNNNNNNNNNNNNNNNNNNNNNNNNNNNNNNNNNNNNNNNNNNNNNNNNNNNNNNNNNNNNNNNNNNNNNNNNNNNNNNNNNNNNNNNNNNNNNNNNNNNNNNNNNNNNNNNNNNNNNNNNNNNNNNNNNNNNNNNNNNNNNNNNNNNNNNNNNNNNNNNNNNNNNNNNNNNNNNNNNNNNNNNNNNNNNNNNNNNNNNNNNNNNNNNNNNNNNNNNNNNNNNNNNNNNNNNNNNNNNNNNNNNNNNNNNNNNNNNNNNNNNNNNNNNNNNNNNNNNNNNNNNNNNNNNNNNNNNNNNNNNNNNNNNNNNNNNNNNNNNNNNNNNNNNNNNNNNNNNNNNNNNNNNNNNNNNNNNNNNNNNNNNNNNNNNNNNNNNNNNNNNNNNNNNNNNNNNNNNNNNNNNNNNNNNNNNNNNNNNNNNNNNNNNNNNNNNNNNNNNNNNNNNNNAUAUGAUCAUCUUAAUGAUUAAGAGACCUUAUCGCAAUUCAUCCUCUAAGUGCAUUCUGAUAGCUAAGAAGAGGAGCUAUGAAUUGUUGAAGUGGUCAAAUCAAGAAGAUGAGUCAUACUUCGUUCCAAAACAAGUCUUAGAGUCAUACUCCAAGACUGUAAGUUGAGUGAAAUAUCUUAAAGACACGUUUAAAACACUAGUUAAAUGUCAAAGUAAAAGUUUUCUACUCUUGUACAUUUGAAAUUGGUAAGUUGUGAUAUUUUGUAUAAAACAAAGACCAACUAAGGCCAAUUGUGUGAAGUGUUUGUCUUGAUUAGAAUCCACACUAUCUCUUGAAUAUCUGACAAGAGAGUCUUAUAUGUCAAGAGGACAGUGGGAGUCUUAAAGGUCUUGAAAGUCUCAAGAACUAAUCAAGAAUAAAACCUGAAGUUCUUCACUAGCACACGACUUGAGGUUUAUAACCUAUCGUGUUGACAUAUUCUGUGCCCAUUCCAGUUAAAGUUGGCUUUGCAUAUGAGUUCUUAGAGUUCUCAAUUUGUUGCACAACAACUUGGAAGCAAUGGCAGGCCCUUGAGCUGCCAGGUGGCAAGAAAUUAAGAUUGAGUUCAGUCCAUAUGAGUUUGGAUUUGUCAUUAUCCUUGUCUUGUGACUAUGGUUUUGACAAUUCACAUGGAUAAGAACACAUACACCAUUAAAUCUAAGUGUCAUAAGGUUUCUCUCCGAUUCAUGAAAAUGAUGGUGAGGAAACACUUUCACUAAGUAGAUUUUAGCUAGAUAGCAAUUGUGAUAUUUGCAUUCUCAAAGUCGUUAGUGGAGCGUGUGUGGUUAACCGACACACUAAUAUGGACUUGUGAGAAGUGUCAAAGGUCUAAACAAUCAAGACUAUGAUUAUGACAUCCCUUUUCAUAGUUCUUAAAAAUUGUUUAGACACACUUGUGAGCUAUCUAAGAUAAGGUGUAUGAUAUUGAUAAAGUUUUAUCAAAGCAAUCUAGUAUCAGAAAUCUGAAAUUUGAUAAGAAAGUCAAUAAAGUAUUGUUUUUCUAGAAGUUCAACUGAGUUCUGAGUACAUGUCAAGGCUAGUGGGAGCAUAAGUGUUAUGCUAAUAAUCAUCAUGUUAAUGGGAGCAUGAUAAUUAUGAUAAAAAUUGCACGUUAGCAAUGUUAAUUAUAGAAAAAAAAAGGCUUCAAUUGGGAAAAAGUUGUUUUGCUAUAAUUAAGGGAGAGGAAAUUAUACUUCAUCUCAAAUCUAUAAGCUUAGAUCGUGAGGUUUUAAUCAUUUAGUCAAGGAUAUAUAUGAAUUUCAUGUUGGAAUGGCUCAACAUAAGGAAAUUCUGUAUAUGGGUCCAUUAUUUGCGUUCUAAAAUUCGAUUAUGAUUACGGCAUCCCUUUUCAUAAUCUGAAUUAUGAGAACUUGGCAAAUAGAAAUGGAAAUAUUAUAGCAAAAGACUGGUUUAGUCUUUAUGUGAGACAUCAUGAAUCGUGUCCCAUAUGCUUCGGAUAUAGGAUCGAUUACAUGUACUAUAUUCAUCCUUUCUAUAAUUUUCCAAAUGCCUAGGGAAUUAAGAAGGGAAAAGGUUUAGAACUGGAUAUGACUAAAACGAUUAAGAAAUUUUCGAGGACAAUUUAAGGUUUACCAAAGAUUGUUUGCUCAGGGACAGUUGGAAGUAUAGUGUUAAUUGUUGGAAGGACCAUAUUGACAUAUUCUGAAAAGAGGCAACUCUUGUUUUGAAGUGAUAGUCAAAAGGGAAUGUGGAAAUGAUUCCAUUAGUGUAAGUUGUUCAAUAAAUCUGUGUAAGAUUAGGAAAGUUAAUGCAAGAAGGAUGUUUCCAAGGAGUUGAUCUCCUUUGGAAUGCUCUGUAAUGUUUGUUGUCAAGUCUUUGUGAUUUUGUGCAUAAUCAUUACAAGAGAAUCAAUGCAUAUAAGUUUAGAAUCUAACANUGAAUUAAGACUGUCAUGGGUUGGCUUGUAGAGGUCUAAGGUGUUGGACAAAGGGCUACAACACUCAUGAGUGCUCAUAAGUUCUGAGUAUUGGAUUCAACCCGCGCUCAUUGGAAUCACUUCAUGGAUUUUAUCACGAGUGAUCAUGAGACGAUAAUAUCUUAUAUUCUUCAAACCUAGAGAUAUGAGUUGUUACUAUGAGUUGGUUGUACAUUGAUUGCACGAAAACGCAUUUGGUAACUCGGUGCUAUAAAACGUGCCUUUGUGUAUGAUUCAACAAGUAGUAGAACAAGCCAUAUGAGUCGAAGUUUAUCCAUUCCUUUUACCUUCGGGAUAAAAGCGAUAUCUGUGGGCCCCUCGAUGAUUUGAUGAUGACAAAUGGAAGUGCUCGGCCGGGCCAGGACUGAUUUGAUUUGUUCAAUUAGUCAGUCGUCAUAAAUCGGAAAUCGGGAAACAACAAAUGGACAGAGAGAAUGAUUAUAAUCCAUGUCUCAGUCCAUAUGAUAUCUAGAAUGGAGGAAUAUAUGAUCCCUUAUCUAAUGGACAAGUCAUUGACAAAGGUCAGAGUUCAUCUACAAGGUCAGAGUUCGACAGAAGCUUUUGAGAGCUACGAUUGCCAGUCGGUUCUUGAAGUCAUACGCAAUAAUAGUUUUAGACUUAUCCAAGUGGGAGACUGUUGGAUUAAUGUCUAAGUCCAUAACUAUAAUUGGUAAGACUUGAACCGACCCGGCAUGGUCCAUUUGGGUUGCAUGGCAUCAUGCAUUUGGAUAGACUAUAAUGAGAGAAACAACACUUAAGGAUGGUUAAUAUAUUAUAAGUUCUAAUAUAUUAAUAAGGUUAUUUAAUUAGUAUUGAUCAAGAAUUAAUUUGGAAUUAAUUAAGUGAUCAAAAGGAGACUAAUUAAAUAUAUGGGUUGAUUGUGUAAAUCAUUCAUUCUUAUAUAUGUGGGCUUGUGAUCCAAGAUUCCUUAUGUUAGACUAAGUCCAUGGGGUGACCCAUGGAUACUCCAUGGAGGUUUAAAUCCAUGGAGCAUAAGGAAUGGGUAAAGUUAUGAGUUACAUGGUUUAACCCUAAUAGCCACCAUAUAAAAGAAUCUCGUGGCUCAAGAAAUCGUGCACUAGUGUGCGAAUAUGAGGGCUAGACGAUUUCAAGGAGUGUUCCAUUUUCUCUCAAGUCAUUCCAUGUGCAUUUGGUGUUGUGUGAACCAUCUGAGGUGUCACGCUUGGGGAACUAGGCACUCAAGCUUCAUGAAGACAUUCUACAUCAAAGAGGUAUGUAAUUCUAACUUUAGAUAUCCAUAUGAAUCAAUGUUAUUUUUACUAGUUCGGAUGAAUACCUUGGAAAGUUCAUAUUUGCAUGUAUAAUAGAGAAAACAUAGAUCCAAGGUAUUUAGGGUUGCAUGUACACUUAGGAGUGUUAGAAUGCUCAAAACCCAACAAAAACUUCCUUAAAUCCUCAGUUUGAGUUCAGAUACGCCCGAAGGUGCAUUCGAAUCCCUCAAAGCAAGGCUCUGAUACCAACUUGUAACAACGUAAAUUUUCAAAAUAAUUUUUCAUUUUUAAAAUCAUACUUUCAUUCAUAAAAUAUCAUAAAAACAUCCAUUAUAUCACAUGUUAUCAAAUUAGACAAAUUCUAGGAUUACAAUACAUAAAUCUUCUCUGUGUGUACGGAUCAUGUCAGUGCCUUCCCACUAUCCUUACUAGUACCAGAAACACAUAUCACGUCAAACGGUAAGCAUAAAUGCUUAGUGAGUUCCCCAAAAUACCACAUACACACAUACAUCGCUCAAGGCUAUAAGACCUUCCGGUCAAUGUGUCUCAGGGGACUUCCGUCCCACAACCUUGGUAAACCUUUCGGGCCUACCCGUAAUGACCUUCCGGUCCAUAUCAUUCAUAACAUACAUAACACACACACACACACACACACACACACAUAUAUAUAUAUAUAUAUAUAUAUAACAUAACAGAAAACAUCACAUACUACUCAUAGCACAUAAGACCUUCCGGUCAUACGUAAUUACCACUCUAGGUAAAGUAUAGUGAGAAGACUCACCUCAUACGAUAUCAAAUAACCUCCCGUGCUUGAAUACCCAGUCUAGCCUCCUCCUAUAAUAAUGAUAACAUCUCUAAUCAAUACUUACUCUUGUCCUUAUUCUUAGGAGUGGGUAGAAGACCAUUCUACCCCUCUCUGCCCUCUCUUCUAGAAUCAGUUGACCAAAAUCCUAAAGUCAACUCAAGUCAAUGGUCAACUUUGACAAGACUCGUCGAGUGCACAAAUGUGACUCGGAGAGUCCAGGCGUCCUCUGAACCUUCAUUGAUCCUUACUCGGCUUGUUGAGUUAACCCUUCACUCGAUGGGCUACCACUGGUCACGAGUCGAGGGGCAACCCGACUCGACUCAUCGCGUCCCCAUAUGAACUCGGCGAGUUCCUUCCAUGACGACACCCAAACAAACUUAUAAGGUUAGAUCAGCUUCUUUAACCUAUAGAUCUGACUUCCCCAUGUCCAUUAAUCACGUAAAUGUCAAGUCUUGACACUCAUGCAACGCCUACAAGGCUUCUUUUGGUGAAAUGACUUCUAAAAUGGGAACCCAAGUCCAUAACUCAAAAAGGAAAGCAUAAAGCAGGGUGGUUGGGACUCUCUGGACCUCUGAAGGUCCAGAUCUAAGAAGCAUUCCACAUUGGGACCUUACAUACUUCGAAAUCAAGCUAAAGAAGGCAUAAGCAAAACCCUAGAUUCACAACAAUCACCAUAAACACAAGAUUGAGCAUAAAUUAGUACCUCUAACAGCCUCCUCUGACCAAAUGGAAGUAGAUCUAAGCUCCACAACCCUCCUAGCUUGCCCUCCUUUCUUUUUUCUUGCAAAAACACACUAGAAAUGGUGAAUAAGGCCUCCUUUAUCACUCACAAGCUCUUUGGUUCUUUGGGUGCUCUAAAGGGUGAAUAUGGCCGCAAAUGAGGGCUAUAAGGUCCCUUAAAUAGGUCUCAGGCCCAUGCAAUUAGGGUUUCUGACCUCAUCGCGGACUCGUCGAGUCCACCCCUUCCGACUUGUCGAGUCUAUUCAUUAAUCCAGUCAGCAAAUCGCGAUCCUACUCGACGAUUCUUGCCCUCGACUCGUCGAUUCCCUCCUCUUUAUACAAAAUAAAUAAUAAAAAUACUAACCUGGAAAUCUGGAUGUUACAAGUUUUAAUUUUAUUUAUUUAAAAAUAUCCUUACAGUGGCAUUUGUGAAGAACUGUUGUGUAUAUGGUUCCAUUGAUAGCAAUAAUGGAAAUAUGAAUUUGAUUCUUUCAUUUGUGGUAGUGUCUAAAUUUACCAAAUAAGGAAAGAUUCUCAUCACCCAAGUUUCAAUUGGACCAAAACUUGGAAUCAUGCAAGUUGUAUAGUAUGAUGUAUGAGAAUUUUCAGCUUUGGGAAAUUAAGACUAAUUCCUUGAUCAUAUAUAUAUAUANGUUGUUUAUAUAUAUAUAUAUAUAUAUAUAUAUAUAUAUAUAUAUAUAUAUAUAUGUGUGUGUGUGUGUGUGUGUAUGUGUGUGUGUGUGAGUCAAGUGAAGGAUUAAUGGAUCGGGUACACUUGAGUGUGCGCUGGUCAAAGUCCACCACAAAAGAUCGAUAAGACUAUUCGUCAUGAUUUACUAAUGUUUAUUAAAUAUGAUUAUACUUACUAGUUUAAGUAUAAUUAUGAAACAUUGAAAAAGUUUCAAUGUGUGGCAGAACGAAUGAGAAGAAUCAAAUUUGGCAGACAGAUAAAAGUUUCUCAAAUCUGAAAAGAUGGGAGAGUACUUUAACAUCAUCUUUUAUGAUCAUCUUAAUGAUUGUGAGACCAUAUCAUAAUUUAUCCUCUAAGGACAUCUUAGUGCAUUCUUAUGGCUAAGCAGAGGAGUCAUGAAUUGUUGAAGUGGUUAAAUCAAAAAAGAUGAAUCAUACUUCAUUCCAAAACAAUUCUUGGAGUCAUACUCCAAGAUUGUAAUGUGAGUGACAUAUCUUAAAGAAGGUUUAUAACACUUGUCAAAUGUAAGAGUAAAAUGUGCUCUACUUUUGUACAUUUGAAAUUGGUAAGUUGUGAUGUUUUGGAUAAAACAAAGACCAACUAAGACCAAUUGUAUGAAGUGUUAUCUUGAUAAGAAUCCACACUAACUCUUGAAUAUUUGCUUUGUCAAGGAAUGGUUCUUGACAAGAGAGUCUUAUAUGUCAAGAGGACAGUGGGAGUCUAAAAAUAGUUUCAAGAACUAAUCAAGAAUAAAACAUAUAGUUUAUCACUAGCACAUGACUUGAGGUUUAUAACCUAUCGUGUUGACAUAUUCUUAUUUCUGUGCCCAUUCCACUUAAAGUUGGCUUUGCACAUGAGUUCUGAGAGUUCUCAGCUGGUUGCAUAAUUACUCGGAAGCAAUGGUAGGCCCUAGUGCUACCAGGUGGCAAGAAAUUAAGAUUGAGUUCAAUCCAUAUGAGUUUGACUUUGUCACUAACCUUGUCUUGUGAUCAUGGUUUUGAAAAAUUCACAUGGAUAGGAACACAUACACCAUAAAAUCUAAGUGUCAUAAGGAUUCUCUCCGAUUCAUGAAAAUGAUGGUGAGGAAACGCUUUCACUAAGUAGAUUUUAAGUCGAUAGCAAUUGUGAUAUUUGCAUUCUCAAAGUGGUUAGUGGAGUGUGUGUGGUUAACCGGCACACUAACAUGGACUUGUGAGAAUGGCAAAGGUCUGAACAAUUGAGACUAUGAUUACGACAUCCCUUUUCAUAGUUCUAAAAUUGUUUAGACACACAUGUGAGCUAUCUAAGGAAAGGUGUAUGAUUUUAUCAAAGCAUCUCGUAUCAGAAAUCUGAACUUUAGUAAGAAAGUCAAUAAAGUAUUGAUUUCUAGAAGUCCAGCUGAUUUAUGAGUACAUGUCAAAGCUAGUGGGAGCAUAAGUUUUAUGCUAAUAAUCAUCAUGUUAGUGGGAGCAUGAAAAUUAUGAUAAGUGUUGCAAGUUAGCAAUGUUAAUUAUAGAAAAACAAAAAGUUCAAUUGGGAAAAGUUGUUUUGCUAUAAUUAAGGGAGAGGAAAUUAUACUUCAUUUCAAUUCUAAAAGCUUAGAUUGAGGUUUUAAUCAUCUUUAGUCAAUGAUAUAUAUAUAUAUAUAUAUAUAUAUAUAUGAAUUUUAUGUUGGAAUGGCACAACGUAAAGAAAUUCUAUAUAUAGGUUCAUUAUUUGCGUUCUAGAAUUCGAUUAUGAUUACGGCAUACCUUUUCAUUAUCUGAAUUAUGAGAACUUGGCAAAUAGGAAUAGAAAUAGUAUAGAAAAAAUAUUGGUUUGGUAUCAUGUCUUUAUGUGAGACAUCAUGAAUCAUGUCCCAUAUGCUUCGAAUAUAGGAUCGAUUGCAUGUGCUAUAAUAUUCAUCCUUUAUAAAUUUUCAAACUGCUCAAGGCAUUAAGAGGGGAAAAAUCCAGAAUUAGAUAUGACUAAAAUGAUUAAGCAAUUUUCAAGGAUAAUCUAAGGUUUACCAAAGAUUGGUUGCUCAUGGACAGCUGGAAGUGUGGUGUAAAUUUUUGGAAAGGACCAUAUUGACAUAUUCUGAAAAGAGGCAACUCUUGUUCAGAAAUAAUAGUCAAAAUGGGAAUAUGUAAAUGUUUCCAUAGGUGUAAGUUAUUCAAUCUGUGUUAGAUGAGAAAACUUAAUGCAAGAAGGAUGUUCAUAGCAAUGUACUUUGAAUCUGAGAGUCCGUUUCCAUGGAAUAAUCUCCAUUGGAAUACUAUGUACUGUAUGUUGACAAGUUUUUGUGACUUUGUGCAUAAUCAUUACAAGAGGAUCAAUGCAUAUAAGUUUAGAAUCUAACAUAUUUCAGUAAAUGGCAGGAAUUUGGAAUUCUUGCGUUUGCGGUAAGGAUUUGGGACUGUGAAAUGAGAAUCAUUUGAAUUAUGUUCAAUCAAUCUAUUUCACAAAGUAAAGAUCAUAGACAAACUUAGUGUGCAUACUUGGUGUAUGGCAUAACUAAUGUUUAGACAAACAUAGUGUGCAUACUUGGUGUAUGGCAUGACUAGUGUUUAGAAAACAUAGUGUACAUGCUUGGAGCAUGGGACAACUAUUGUUUUAAUUCAAGUAUAAAGUUGAUAGUUUGAAACAGUAUGCAAUGAAUAAUGUGUAAUCAAUAUUGUGAUAAUAAAUUUGUUCUGUUUAUAUUCAUAAGUUCUGAGACCAUAUUGGAUUCGAUUACUCUCGUGUUUCACUUUGCAUGUUUUGACUUCUAGAAUAACUAGUUCGCUCUUCCUGAAUGACUAAGUUAUUCAAACCAUCCACCGUCGGUCAUAUGUUGGAAGUAGAUAUGAAUCAAGACUGUCAUGAAGCUGGUUUGUAGAUGUCCAAGGUAUUGGACAUAGCAAGAGUUGUUGCAACAUUCAUGAGUGCUCAUAAGUACUGAGUAUUGGAUUAAACCCACGCUCAUUUGACUCACUUCAUGGAUUUUAUCACGAGUGAUCAUGAGACAAUAAUAUCUUAUAUUCUUGAAACCUAGAGAUAUGAGUUGUUGCCCAUGAGUUGGUUAUACAUUGAUUGUACGAAAAUGCAUUGGUAACUCGAUGUUAUAGAACGUACCUUUGUGUAUGAUUCAACAAGUAGUAGAACAAGCAUAUGAGUCGAAGUUUAUCCAUUCCUUUUACCCUUAAAGGGAUAAAAGCGAUAUCUGUGGGCCCCUCGAUGAUUUAGUGAUGACACCUUGAAGUGUUUGGCCAAGCCUGGACUGAUUUGAUUUGUUCAAUUAGUCGGUCAUCAUAAAUCGAAAAUAGAGAAACAACAAAUGGACAGAGAUAAUGAUUAUAAUCCAUGCCUCAGUCCAUACGAUAUCUAGAAUGGAGGAAUAUAUGAUCAGUUAUCUAAUGGACGCAUCAUUGAUUUGUUCAGAGUUCGACGACAGCAGCUUUCAAGAGCAUGAUUGCCAGUCAGGUUUUGAAGUCAUAUGCAAUAAUAGUUUUAGACUUAUCUAUGUGGGAGACUAUUGGAUUAGUGUCUAAGUCCAUAAUUAUAAUUGGUAUGUACUUGACCCGAUUGGCAUGGUCCAUUUGGGUUGCAUGGCAUCAGAACAAUUUGGAUAGACUUUUGGGAGAAAAUGAUAAUUAUGAUUUGUUAAUAUAUUAUAAGUUCUAAUAUAUUAAUAUGAAAUCAUAUUAUUUAAUCUGUAUUGAUCAAGAAUUAAUUUGGAAUUAAUUUUGUGAUCAAAAGAGACUAAUUAAAUAUAUGGGGAUUGAUUGUGUAAAUCAUUCAUUCUUAUAUAUGUGGGCUUAUGACCGUUGAUUCCUUAUGAUGGGUUUAACCCAUGUGGUAACCCAUGGAUACUCUAUGGAGGUUAAAACCCAUGGAGCAUGAGGAAUGGGUAAAGUUAUGAGUUACAUGGUGUAACCCUAAUAGCCACCAUAUAUAAGGACCCCAUGGCUCAAGAAAUCGGCACUAGUGUGUGUACACAUGAGGGCUAGCUGAUUUGAGCAUAGGAACCUUUUCUCUCAAGUUAUUCCAAGAUGUUGGUGAUGUUGUGUGAACCAUUUGAAGUGUCACUCUUGAGGCACUAGGCUCUUAAGCUCCAUGGAAUCAAGCUACAUGAAAAGGUAUGUCUUCUAACUUGUUUAUAUUACCCAAGUAUCAAUGAUUGUAUGCUAGUUAGGGUAAUACCUUGGAAAGUUCAAGUUUGCAUGUAUAAUAGAGAAAACAUAGAUCCAAGGUAUUUAGGGUUGCAUGUACACCAUAGGAGUGUUAGAAUGCUCAAAACUCUACAGGCAGACCCUGUGUGACUCACUAUACCACUAACUAUCACACGACUCUCCAUUGGUGCCAAAUCACACACGAAAGAGUCACACAACAAUCAAAUAAGAUAUCUCUAUAGGAACUAAGGCAUCAUAUAAUCAGGAAAUUCUAUCAUGCAAUUCCUGAAGCCCCCUAGCCUAUAACUAGCAUGUUGUUCUGUCACAUCAUAGUAUCAAAUAACAAUAUGGUAUUUUGGGGUCUACUUACUGGCUCCGGCUGAUCGUACACUUGCAUCCUCCUUUAUUGGUUGAAAAAUUAUUUUAAAAACUUUUCCUUUAUUUGAGACUGGAUUCACAUGCGUGUUCCUCCAAUUCACUCAAACCAAGGCUCCGAUACCAACUUGUAAUACCCAUAAAAAUCAAGAAAAUUUAAAACUUUUAAAACAUUUCAAACCAAUAAGUUAUUACAAUUUGUUUUCAAAAUAGUUUAAACAUCAUAAUAUCCCCAAAAUCAAUUCAUGAAAAUAUAAGGAGGCGCACGAUCAUGCCAUUUCCUUCCCGCGAUCAGUUGAAGUACCUGAAACAAUAAUCGAUUAAUGUAAGCUCAAAGGCUUAGUGAUUUACCCCCAAAAUACCAACCUCGUACAACCAUAAUCAUAUCAUAUAAACAAACAACAUGUAUCUCGAAUCUAUAGUAUGACUGGACCGAGGUGGUUUCAGUUCAUCCAAAAAGUGGAUAAAAGACAACAGGAUGUUCAGACAGGAGCAGAGAUAAGAGAAUUCUUGCGUAGAGCAGCUAGUUGACCAGGAGGUGCCAAGUCACUCACAACGGGAUUGAAUAAUCUCAGAGUGAUUGAUUUGACUCUAUGGUGCAGCUCUCAUUUGAGUCUUAAUUGUUGCAGAUAUGAAUCUUUUACUCGAAGGAUUAUCUGAUUCACAUGCUGAGAUGAGCAUUCAGCAUCUGGACAUGGUAAGAGAAAUCAUUCAGUGGAAAUGGUGCGAUGACCGGCACUGGGAGUGGUCGGGAUUGCAGCUUUAGCAAAAGGUUUAUUCUUGAUGGAGAUAUAAGAGGGUUUUUUUUGCUUAUGUACAAACACCUUGGGGAAGACCGUUGAUUGCACAGGGUAAUUGUUGAAUACCUUAGAUGUCAAGUGUGAGUACUCGGUGAGUACCGGAAGGUUUGUCAGUUGUGGUGAGAGUAAUACACGCAAGAUUUAUAGUAACUGAAGUACUCUCAAGAUUUUACCUCCAAGGAUUUUCAUCUAGCUCAAGAAGACCGGGCAAAAAUCCAAUAGAAGUGUUCCUUUCGAGGAUUGGACCGAACAGACAAAGUUAUGCUUCGUAUAGGAUUGUUGUAGGAGGUUGCAGGAUAGGUGACCAUAGCGGACUUUGAGGAUGAAGUCUAUUUAAAGCUGGGGAGAGUUGUAACACCCGAAAUCUAGAAGACUAUUUAGGAAAGAAAAACACUAAGUUAAGAAGGUCUACUCACCGAGUCCAAGGGUGACAAGUCGACGAGUAGAAGCGAGAUUAUGAUGUGGGAUGAAGGACCUACUCGACGAGUUGGUUUGGGUUUGGGAAACCCUAAAUCCAGGUUUUUGUACCCUAUUUAAGCAUCCUAUUCCCUUCAUUUCAACCCCAUUUCCAGCCUCCAUUAUCCAAACCGUAGAUCUCAAACCCUAAUGCUAUAGUGAGCCAUUCUUGAGUGUUAUUGAGUGCUUUGGAGCUUGAGGAAGUAGGAGAAGAUUGGGAAAGCAAGAAGAAGACUGUAGAUCCAGCAACACCAUCUCAUUUCCAUCAUAUUUUGGUAAUAAAGUCUUCAACUUGGCCAUUAUUUCAUUAGAUCUCUUCCCUUCUCCUUUAUGAAGGUUUUAGUCCAAGAAUGAUAGCUUUUGGGUUUGGACGUCCCAAGCAAGGAUUAUGUUAGAACAAUGUUCUAGUAUGAUCGAUAGAUUCUAAAUAGAAGAACAAGAACAAUAAUGUAAAGAACACAGAAAUGGCUCAAACGUUGUUGAAUGAUUAAAAUUUAACACCUCAGAAGAGCUCGAUUAAGAACUUCGACUGUAGAGGUGUUUAGGGUUACAAUACAGCUAUUAAUGAGAACGAUAAUCUUUACGCUAUACAUGCAUACACUAUAAAUAGCUUAACCCUAAUCAAUGAUCACGGAUGGACAGGCCCAAUCUGGAUAUACAAAAUACUAAGCCCAAUAACGCAACAUCAAAAUACCCAACAAUCUCCCCCUUUGCGUCAAUUAAGGCGAGAGCUCAAUUCAGUUGAGCAAUAGAAGAAUUCUUAAUAGUCUUGAACACCUUCGGUAUGAUGGCCAACAGAGUUUGACGGAAGUAAUAUACCACCAAAGCAUGCUCGUGAAGUUCUUCUUGUCUGACUCAUUGUUCUCCUUGCAUCGAUGAAUGAGAUUGAUAAUGUGCUCCAAGCAGUCCGUUGAGAACAGAUGUUUAUCAAAAAGAGCGAAAAGAAAUUUGUUAGCUUUGCCUCUUGUGAACAUCACAGUGAGAUGUGUAGAAUCGAUUUGACCAAUCUUCAUCUUGUUAACAUCUCCUGGCUUUGAAGUUGGCUUCACAGUUGGUCUCUUCUUCAAAACGCUAGAAACUUCCUUAUCCAUCUUCGCAACUUCAUGGACGUAGGAAGCCAACAUCCUCUUCAAAUGAUCUUGGAUCGGCUCAUACUCCUUUGCAUUUUUAGUAGAAUAUUAUAAAGUAAGAUCCAAUCAUGAGGAUUUAAGUUUGGAAGAUCUACCAUGGAAAUCAUGGAAACCAAGUUGCCUGAACCUCGGGUUAUUUUGAAUUGAACGUUAACAAAUUUCCCUGCAGGAGAGGGUUUCAGCACCUUGACAGUUGAAAUUUUCUAUGCACUCCAAGUCAGAUACUGAGGUUGACCAAACUGGAGAUAGUAGUCAUUGAGUUCACGAUCAACUUUAGGGUGUUGUGAGGGAACUUUAACUGUUGAGUCAAAACAGUGAAAAACAAAAGCCUUUCGUGUUAUAGGCAUAUCGAACUGCGAGUCCCCCGAAUUCUCACAAUCAAACGAAGCGAUAGGUUCUAGCCAAUAAGUACUUGGAAACUCUAUUGCUUCUUUGAUUAACCCUUCUCUCGUCCAUGGGGGAAAGAGUGCCUGCUUACGGACAAGAGCAUCAUGCUCUUCUUUCUUCUUUCGUUCCCUCUCCUCUUCUUCUCUUGCAACCCGAAGGUUUGCAUCUAACUCUUGAUCCCUUUUCUUUCAUUUUAGGACCUCAGCAAUCGUCUCUUGAUCUUCUUCACUGUCAUCAUUUUCAUCAGAAACGCCUUUCUUUUUUUCUUGACCACCAGAACCUGAAGCUACAUUAACCUCCGGUUCAGUUUUGAUGAUGACCUUGGGAGGAACAAGAGGAGUCUUCACAGAACCUUCUCCCCCUUUUUGUGGAGUGACUAUCGGCUCCAUAACACCCUUCAUCUGGCUUAAGAAUUCAAUCGACGGAAGAAGUUUGGAAGUCAAAUGAUUCCUGAUUGUGAGAGUAAGAGUGGGAUCAUGAGCAUGAAGAACAUUACUCAAUAGAGUAAGAACAUGAGCGACACAACUUUUUAGAACUGAACGCUCAGUCUUCAGUGAAGCAAUCUCCUUAUUCGCCUGAGAAAGUUGAACUUUCUGGACUUCAAUCUGAGUAGUUUUGCGAGCCAGAUCAUCCAUUAUCCUUUUUUCCAUCGCCAAAUCAGCGUGAAGCUUUUCUAAUCAAGAGUCAACCAACGAUAGAAGUGACUUGUUAUCAGCUUGAAUAUCAGAACGAAUAUUCUCAAAUUUGGCUUGCUCUUCUUGAAGGGACCGAGAAAGAGAGUCAAUCGAGGCAUUCACCUUAGUAGCAUUCGAAUCAGCAUGACCUUUAAAGGAUUAUAAGAAUAUCUUGGAAUCAUGAAGAAGGUCUGUAACUUUGGUAGUAGCCUGCUUACAUAAAGAAGUAGAGGCAUCCACAGCAACUGUUGAUUUCUCAAUGGAUUCAUGGUAUUGCUGAAGAUCUAUGUCUAGAAAAGCUUUCAUCACCACAUCAUUAUACUUUUUUGAUGAUUCAAUCAAGGUAUCUAGCUUGUCAUCAAGACGAUCCAGAUGUUGCUUAGUCAUAGGAGCUACAUCAUCAUCAUCGCUUGGAAGUCUGUAAGGACUAUAAUAAGUAGAAUCGAACUCAACAUUUUCUCCACCAAGAAUUGGAGCAGACUCACUCGAAGGUGUUGGUGAAAAAAGUUCGGUUGUAACAAGAGGUUCGUUUCCAGUAAUCUCCCCCGUAUCAGAUACGUUGACUGUUACUGGAGGUUCGGUUGCGGUUGUGGUGAUUGGUGUAGUUGUGGUAGUUGCUUGUGAAAGAAUAGGAGGUGGUAAUGGGUCAGUUGAAAUUGGUGUUGUGCUAUCAGGUGGUGGUGGUGGUGGUGGAGUGGUAGAAGUAGGUUGUGUUGUGGGAAUUGAUGGAAUUGGAGCAACCGAAACUGGAAUAGUAGACUUCGGUGGGGAUGGAGGAAGAGUGGGAAUUAUGUCGUUAAGUUGUUCAGUUGUAGUUGGAGAAUGAGGAGGUGUAUUACCUCUUGGUGAACCUUCAUGCUAAACUUCUUCUUCCUCAUCAGCAGACUGUUCCUCAUCAUGAUCAGAGCUAGAAGGGGAAGGAAGCUUUCGUCUCCUUGCCAUCUUCUUGAAUUUCUUUGGAGCCGAAGAAGCAGCUUUUUCAACUUUUCGCUUCUUAGACUUGACAGUCUUAGUUGAAGGCCCGUCAGUUUCCACCUUCUUGGUAUCAGCCUUCUUCCCUCGCUUUACUGGCUUCUCAACAGCAUCCAAUGUAGCUUGCAUUUUAGGAGUUAAUUGUUGUGGACCCUUGGGAGGAAGCUUCCGAUACUCGGCCAUCACUUUACUUUCUCUUGAAACACAUCUGUACAUUGUUUCAGGUAUUGAACCGUUGAAGGAAAACUUGGUUGCAUCAGUGAAGAUAAUCUUUUUGGUGUGAAAAGUAGCCACAGAGGAAAGCAUAGCAUUGGUCAUAACCGAAAUCUGAAAAUAUUCAAUGGCCCUACGAGUGACUAUGGUCCAAAAACAACUAUAGGAAAUCUCCGAAUGUCUGAUGGAGGAGUUGAGACUUUGCACCAAUUUUGACCAAAUAAGAGAAAAAUAAUCCAGGUUAAUUCCAUUAUAGAGACCAUAGAGAAUGGUCAUAAAACAUUUACUAGUCCCAUCUGACCCAGCUACCCAUUCUGCCAAACCCUUGUUGAUAAGAGUAAGUAAUCCCUUCCAUUGCGGUGACAAACAGGACUUCUUGAAUUUAGUCACUGUGAUGAGAACACCAGUAUAACCCAUCUCGUAGAACAUCGAGAAUAAUUGUGUCGUGGUGAUGAAAUCAGGAGAGAUAACAGACGCAUCAGCUGCAAGCCCUAGCAAUGAACUGAAGCGGGCUUUGGGAACGGAGGUCUUGUGAUUAAAGAUCUCAAAGUAGAUGUGUUCAUUGUUCUUAUCAUAAGAAGCAGAAGUAUAGACAUGUGAUAAUAAGGACAUCGACACUGAUUCGACUUACGUAAGAGCAAUCACCAAUGGAGAAUACUUGAGCACCUCGACCACAUGUAGCAUGUACACAUCAUACAGGAAAGGGUUCAAUUGUAUGAUAAGAUUCUGGUUGGGUUUGAUAGGAAGAAAGUUUGAAGAAGCUGUCUGAUCUUGCAUAGAAGAUGAUUCCGCCAUUGUUGUGGUAAAGAAGAUGAUGAACAGUAGAAAAUCGUCUGUUGUAUUCAAUAGGGAAAUCGAAGAAGGUAAGGAGGUAAAAUAGGUGUGAGAAACCCUUUAUAUACCGUUGCCAGCAGAGAGAAAGAAUUUUCUGUGAUGAUGAUACAAUCUCUGAAACGUCACCUGAAAAACCGCGAUUUGACAACUUGGUUUCCCCAGAUAGACGUCAUCAAGCGUGGGUUUAGGAACCGUUUCAAAUUCACGCGCCCAAUUUAAUGUUUAUCCGAUGACUCGGUUCGAAUUCUUAUCCACAUAUCGUCUCUUCAAAAACAAUCCGCAACUUGCAAUACUAGGAGUGUCAAACAGGAUGCAUUCUUUCGCUUCAAAGUAACCACUUUCGCUCCAUACUACAUAGAAACACCAGUUUUGUCAGAUCCUUAAACAUAAAACUGAAAUGAGCCAUUAGUACCAUCAACAAGAGUUUUGGAAAAUCACAAAGAAUUUUCGUGCAAGAGUGUGCCAAAGAUAAAGAAAUAAAGCAAAAUGUGUAUAGGAUGUAAGUGAAGUCUUAAUAAGACAUGAAGCAGGUGAUUCCGGGCAUGAAUCUCUUCCUUCAAAGUCAAGAGAGACUUGAAGUGAUUGUGUGGUUCCCCGAUAAAAUACAAUCGAGUGUCUAUUAAUAAACAUCGAAAAGCUUCUUUUCAAAUAUUGGCUUUAAAAGGGUGGCUUAUCUUCAACCGAACUUCGAUACUUAAUAUAAGACCGAAAGUUGGAUGAAGUACUUGUGAGACCGAUGUGGUCUGUUGAACACGUAGGUUGGAUAUAGUGUGUAUUGACAGGAUGUAUAAUAGAAAUCUCAAAAACAAAAACUAAACUAGAUCUUUUGGAAAGAAAUGCCUUGAUGUUAGACAAUUUCAUAAAGAUCACUCAAAAAUAAAAUGAGACUUCAUAAGGUAACAAGUAAUAACUUGAAUAGUAAAUAUUCACCAUCAAUUCAUUGUUGGUGUUGGAUUAUGGGUCUCACUUAGCACGUGGUGUACGCAUCUAAGAUCAUAAACACAUAUUCUGUGUAACCAUAAACCUCAGUAGUAAUAGCUGAGAGUCUCAAGGGUUACUUUGGUGGAAUGAAACGUGAUGGAGAAAGUAGAUGAGAUGGUUGAAGAACCGAAAGUACCUCUGCUAUAUAAGAGUGACAAAGCAGAAAACUCUUAACUCAUAUGAGAAGAGUAAGGUAGCUCGUGACUUGAGUGAAUUUAGCUGCCUGAUUGGGAAGAAACGAUUGGUAUAAAUCUAAUCAUUAAGGCUUUACACAGAGUCUUAGAGGCUUCGGUCUACAUACAACAACAUGCUUCUAAGGACACCUAACUAGUGCAUGGAAAAAUAUAUUACACCUGCCCUUGCUUCACUGCAUGUACCUUCUGUGUUCUUGAGACCUAAGAAAGAAAAGAAACCACACGAAAUACAAGAAGAAAAUAUUUUUGAAUUUUUGUAAUUUCUGAAAAAAGAGUAAAAACAGUAAAGAAAAUAUUUUUGUAAUUUUAAAAUUUCUGAAAAAUAAAAAAUAAAAAAUAAAAAAUAAAAAAUAAAAUAUAUCAGAUAAAGAUAAAGGCUAAAGAAAGGCAUGCAAAAACAAUGAACAAAAUAUACAAGAUAUACACCCGAAACCUAACCUUAAAAAAGAUGAAGGGAAAUAGACCGAGCGUUCGGUUCAUUUCGGUUCCCUAAAAUUCCAGAGCCGAAAUAGACCGAGCGUUCGGUUCAUUUCGAUUCCCAAAAAUUACGGAGCUGAAAUAGACCGAGCGUUCGGUUCAUUUUGAUUCCCGAAAAUUCCGGAGCCGAAAUAGACCGAGCAUUCACUCUAUUUCCCUUGUCUAAUUUUUAAAGAGAUGUAAGGGGUUUCGGUAUCGACUCUGCUUCCAUCAUUCCCAAGCCUUGUAAUAUUCUAUUAAAACUUGCUUCUGGUAAGGCCUUGGUGAAGAUGUCAGCAAGUUGAUCAGAGGACCGAACGAAAUGAACUUCCACAUUGCCAUCUUCAAGAUGGUCCUUGAUGAAAUGGUAUCUCAGUGCAAUAUGUUUGGUCUUGGAGUGUUGCACUGGAUUAUGACAUAUCCUUAUCGCACUUUCUGAGUCACAGUAAAGGGGAAUCUUCUUCAUACUCAUUCCAUAAUCUCUAAGUUGGCUUUGUAUCCAAAUGAAUUGUGAUGUACACGAUGUUGCUGUGAUGUACUCAGCUUCGGUUGUUGAAAGAGACACACAGGUUUGCUUCUUCGACUGCCAACUAACAAGUUUGCCAUUAAGAAAUUGGCAUCCUCCAGUUGGGCUCUUUCGGUCCAGACCACAUCCACCAAGAUCUGCGUCAGAAAAGGCUUGAACAAAGAAUCCGGAUUUAGCUGGAUACCAGAGACCGAGAGACUAGGUUCGCUUCAGAUACAUGAAGAUAUUCUUCAUAACAAUCAUAUGAUGUUCUCUAGGGUUAGCUUGGAACCUAUCACAAUAACACACAGAGAACAUAAUAUCUGGUCUACUGGCUGUUAAAUACAUAAGAGACCCUAUCAUUUGACGAUAGAGUUUUACAUCAACAGCCGUUUUAUCCAGAGAUGGUGUAAGCUUUGUGCCAAACGCCAUGGGAACCUUCACUUUAGAAUCUCCCAUCAUGUCGAACUUCGCCAACAGGGUCUUGGUGUAAGCCUCCUGGUUAAUAAAUAUGCCUUCUGGUCCCUGUCUAAUGUUCAGUCCAAGGAAAAAGUUAAUUGGACCCAUUGCGCGCAUUUCAAACUUAGUCUCCAUCAACUUCCUGAAUUCAGCUGUUAAGUUAGGAUUCGUGAAGCCGAAGAUGAUGUCAUCAACAUAAAUUUGAACUAUCAUUAAGUGUUUGCCUUCUUUCUUGCGAAAGAAGGUUAGGUCAACCGAACCUUGUUUAAACUUUGACAUUUUGAGAAAAUCAGUUAGAGUUUCAUACCAUGCUCUCGGUUCUUGCUUCAGACCGUAUACCGCUUUAUCCAGAACAUAACAUGAACAGGAAACUUCUCGUUCACAAAACCGGGUGGUUGCUCAACGUGCACCGUUUCUUCUAGUUCUCCAUUCAAGAAAGCGCAUUUUACAUCCAUUUGGAAAACUUCGAAGUUUUUAUGUGCACCGUAUGCCACAAAGAUUCUUACAGAUUCCAACCUUGCUACAGGAACAAAGGUCUCCUCAUAGUUUAUUCCUUCUUCCUAACAAUAUCCUUUCACCACUAGUCUCGCUUUGUUGCGAAUGACGUUUCCCUCUUUAUCUAGCUUAUUCCUGAAGACCCAUUUCAAACCAACCACCGAUGCAUCCUUAAGUGUGGGAAUCAACCUCCAAACGCAAUUAUGUUCAAACUCAUGGAGUUCGUCUUGCAUCGCUUGUACCUAAUCAGAGUGAUAAAGGGCAGCAUUGACCGUUUUCGGUUCAAUCUUGGAGACAAACGGAUUGAACAUGCAAUAUUCAACUUAUGAGAAUAGAGCAGUUUGUUUCGCUUUAAGUUGGGAGCAUGUUAGAACCCGCUCAGAUGAGUCACCAAUUAUUUGUGUUUUAGGAUGAUCCUUUGUCCAUUUGGUAAGAGGAGGGUAGUUUGGGUCAUAAACAGGAUCUAACUCAACAUUUACUUCAUCUUCAAGUUCUGAUUGUUCACCUUCGUCAUUUGCAUUCUCAUUCUCCCCCACAAAUGGCGAAGCGUGUUCCAUAUCAGGUUCAGGACUCUCCCCCUCGGUUGAACCAUCAUUGGUUGGGGUAAGAGUUGGAUUCUCCCCCUCGAAAGGCAUUUCGGUUGUUUUAGAAACUAAUGAACCCUCCCCCUUGAAUGUUGAACUAUCACUUGGAGGGUCAUUUGUGGGUUGAGUUUCGGUUCGUGUAGGAUGAUCACCUUCCAUUUCCUUUGCAGAAUCAUCGAUGAUCUUUUUCAAGUUGUCGAUGUUGUUAUUUGCUGCUUUCGCUUAUGAGUGUAUUGCCUUCUCUGGUUCAUCAAAAAGUAACAUAUACUCUUCAAACAAAUUGGAGAUAGGAACAGAGACUUGACCUGAUUCUUGAAAAAUGUCUUCAACAGAACUUUCGCUUGUUUGAAUCUUCUUCAUAUAAUUAUCAUCAAAAGUCACAUAGUACGUUUCUUCAAUCUUCAUGGAGCAUUUAUUCAGAACCCUAUAUGCCUUCGAUGUAAGCGAAUAGCCAAGAAAUAUCCCCUCGUAUGCUUUGACGUCAAACUUGUUUCGGUUCUCUUUGGAGUUGAAAAUGAAGCAUCUAGAACCGAAAACGUGGAAAAACUUCACAUUGGGCUUACGAUUGUUCAGAAUCUCGUAUGGAGUUAUUGAGAAUCGCUUGUUGAGGAAAGAUCGGUUCUAAGUGUAGCAUGCAGUUGCAAUGGCAUCAGCCCAAAAAUAAAGUGGAAGAGAGGCGAAGCUCAACAUUGUUCGGGCUGCUUCACAUAAGGAACGAUUUCGCCUUUCAACGAUCCCGUUCUGCUGUGGAGCAUAAGGAGCAGAAAAGUUGUGAGUUACUCCCUUUUCAGCCAGAAAACCUUCAAACUCUUUAUUCUUGAACUCAAGCCCAUUGUCGCUUCUUAUGUUCCGCGCCACCUUUCGCAGUUGCAGUUCCACUUGCUUGAUGAAUGCUUUUAACUUUGGAGUUGCCUCAGAUUUCUGUUUAAGAAAGAAAACCCAGGUGAAGCAUGAAAAUUCAUCUACUAUUACAAGAAUGAACUUACUACCACCGAUGCUUUCAAUAGCCGAAGGCCUACACAAGUCGAUAUGCAGAAGUUCAAGCGAUUUGAUGAUCUUUAUGUUGAUACGAGUAGGAUGGCUCUUUCUGCAUUGCUUGCCCAUCUCGCAUGUUGCACAUACAUGUUCCUUAUCAAACUUGAAAAGAGGAAGACCUCGAACAUGAUCACCAAGCACAAGUUUAUUAAUGUCAUUGAAGUUCAGAUGUGAAAGUCGUAGGUGCCACAACCAGCUUUCGUCAGAUUUCGCCUUCGUCAGCAGACAUAUAACAGGUUUAGCCCGAAUUGGGUUGAGAUUGAGAGGAUAUAUCUCUCCCUUGAGUUCAAAAUUUAACAUAACCUUUUUUUUUGCUUUUUAAUUAUUUAUGAGCCCUCGUCAUCGAACGAAACUUUCAAACCAGUUCCUACAACUAGUUGAGAAACGCUGAUGAGGUUGUGCUGCAACCCUUCCACGUAAGACACUUUUCUUAUUGAGAAUUCUCCAUUGGUAAUCAUUCCAUACCCUUUGAUCGUUCCAUAAGAGUUAUUUCCAUACUUGAAACAACCACAUCUUUAAGGGAUCGAAACUCCCUUAAUUCUUCCCUCCUUCUUGUCAUGUGACAAGAGCAGCCACUGUCUAUGUACCAUUCCUCAUCGAACUGCUCGUCACUUAUCACCUGCAAAUUCAUGCAGAUUUAGGAACCCAAAGUCUCUUGGGCCCUAGUGAGUCUUUUACAGAAAAGGGAAUAGCAACAAAAAGAUCAACCAAAUAUGUUCGUUUAAUCAAAGUGGUUUCAUCUUUUCUUUUUAUUGUAUAUACUUUGAUUUUAUUUUUAUCUUGUUUUAGUUGUGGUGUGUCAGUUGGUUUCUUGUUAGAUGGUUUUUCAGUCCUAGGGUUAGUUGACUUUUUCUUAUCAUUGACUUGAGAAUUCGAAACCAUCUUUCUCUUUCCUUUGAUAUCCUUCUCAGAGUUUGUCUUUGGUUGAGAGUGAGGAAAAUGGGUUUUAUGAACGAAACCAGAUGUUCGGUUCUGAACUUUGGAGUUAGGACCAACACUAGGCUUUCGGUUCUGAACCUUUGAGUUGGGACCGAAAUUUAUUUUUGGUUCAUUUGACUGCUAGGUUUGUGGUGAUUGUGUGAAGGCGAUUUGUCACACGAUUUGACAUUAGUCUCUUUCUUGGUUGGGAGAAAGUCAGGAUUUUGUGACUGCCAAAACUGUUUUCUCUCAUUUAGGUUCUUCAUGUAUCUUCGGUUCCUUUGGUGUUUUUGUUCGGCCAGUUGCUCUUGAGAUUUAUGAAUGUUGUAUCUUGGUUUUGGUUUCUCUUUUUGAGCUUCGGUUGUCUUGGAAGAUACAUUUGAUUCCUUCCUUGGUUCUUCUGGUAUCUCUUUUGUUCCACUCGAGCUUGGUUUGUCAAAACUUGAGGGAUUGUUGAUAGGUUCAGCAACGUAUCUACCCUUUACCCUGCAUGAGGUUCACUCUGAUAAACUGAAGGUUUCGUCUGCAUUAUCGAUAGGGGCAGACCAGAAGUAAUCAUCGCACCCUUUAGCGUUAUCUUUGUCGACCAUGGUUUUCAGCUAUGCCAUUUGUUUCUUGGUGACACCUUCAACAACAUAUACUUGAUUUGGCACCGUUUGAACUUUCUGAUAGACAACCACCUUUUCUUUGAGUUUUUUUGAUUUGUCCUUUGACAGGUGAGCAUAUUUAGCCGAGUUUUCAGAUAUGAGGGCUUUUUCAUUCUCGGUUUCACUCUUCAAAUAUUCAGAACAAUCAACCAUAUCAUCCACUGAGAUUUCGCUAAUCUCACUUUCCUCAUCAAAUUCAUACAUGUUUUCUACAUUCAUUUUAUGUUCUGAACUUAAUUUGGUAUUUUAAGAGUGAAAUGUUUGUAUGGUCUCGGACUUAAUUUUCAACCUAUCAUUUUCAUCCACAAGAUUCUUAAGCAUGCAUUUAUGUUCCUUGGAGUCAAUAAAGGUCUCAAUUUUGUCCAGUCCGAUUUUGUACGCGAUGGAAGUCUCAUCUGAGGACAUUAUAGAUUCACACUCAGUAAUGACCUCAUCCUCCUUAAAUUCAAGGAAGGGUAAAAUCAUCUUAUGAAUCUUUUUCCCUAUUUCACAAUCUAAGUGCAACUAAGUAAUAUUCAUAUAUAAACGUUUUUCAAUUAAACAAAAAAACAUUAUGUUGCUUUAAAAACUUUAAAUUGUCUCGUUGUAAAUAAAUAAGUUCGUCCCUAGCUCUAACUAACUCCGCCUCCUUCAGCUCUAUCCACAUCCUUCUCUCCUCACUCUUCGAAGACGUCCUGCUAAGUUGGUCGGUUAAGUUAGAGUUCGUUAAGUGAGUUUGCAUAAGACUACCACUUAAGUUAGAAAAGUUGAAUUUUAAUUCAUUUAAUUCUUUUUCGUAAUCUGUUACCGGUAUUUUAAGAGAUUCAAGGAUGGAUUGUACCUUCUUGAUCAACUGAUCACAGUCGUUAAUCCUUUCACUGACAGGCUUGGAUGCAAAGCAUUUAUCUUCAUACACGUUCGGUUCCUCAUGCUUACUUUCGGUCGACACUCCAGUAGUUACCAUCAAGAAUUUCCCAGCUGACUUACCAUCCUCCUCUCUUGCCACAAAAGCUCUUCCAUGUGCGGCUUUUCUCACCUCUUCAUCCUCAGGAUCUGUGGACCAAACUCCGACACCACUGAACUCAUCUUCAUCAAGGUUUUCAUGCACAAUCAAGGCGUUCAUAGGACUAUUACUUACCUUCUUUUUCUUUAUUUAUUCAAGCUUUCGCAUGUAGUAUGCUUCGUCAUCUUCACCAUCCCUUUUUCUCAACCAUCUUCCUCAUCAUACAAUCCUUGGCAAAGUGGUUCUUGCCAUGACAAUAGUUGCAAUCGUACCCUGAGUCUCCCACAAGCCCGCUUUCCUUCUUUUCAUCUUCCUUCUGAGAAAUGUUCUUUGUCUCUUCCUUCACCUUCUCUGAACUAUAGCUUCCUUGCCAGUUUCGGUUCUUAUUGACAGGGAAUUUCUUUCGAGCAAACUUCUUUGGGUUUGUGACCAUCAUUGCGUAUUCUUCACUAGUUAGAUCACAUUCUGACAUGUCAGAUUCUUCCUCUUCGUCUACCACACUUUUUCUUUUAGAAACAAGAGCCAAUGAUCCCACACCCGAAACUACCUUUGCUUCUUUUGUCAUCGUGCUUUCAUGAGAUUUCAAAAUACCCAUUAGUUUUGCCAAUGAAUAUGUUUUAAAUUGUUCACGAGCCUUCACAGUUGAGACUACUGCCAUCAACUCGGGUCUCAGGCCAUUCAUGAACGUAACUUUCUGUUCAAUACCUUUUCUUUCAAUCAUCUUGCUAAGCAGAUGAUUGUAACGGUCGAACGUUUGAAGUAGUUUCUCUUCAGGUUUUUGUGCAAAAGCUCUAAACUCAUAAAGUAAUAAGGUUUGGAUCGAGUGCUCUAGAUCCUCGUUGGUUGAAUAUAAUUAUUUUAACCUGUCCCAUAUCUCUUUAGCGGUAGUGCACGCACUUACCAGACGAAAAGUGUCGGCUUGUAAGGCAAAUCUGAUCAUCCUCAAAGCUUUGAUAUUGCAUAACAGCUUGUCUUUCUCGUCUUGAGGGAUCUUCUCAACGUCCACUAGGAGUUUAUUAUACUCUUUUUGAGUCAUUACUGUUCUAUUCGUUCUAGAGUGAACAAACGAACCCAACGUGAUUGCUUCCCAGAUGAGAUAACCAUUGUCUUCAGAUCCAACUACGUAAUCUUCAAAGUGAUGUACCCAUACUUCAUAGUCUUGAGUGUAAAGAAUGGGAUUCCUUGUAGUGGAUCCAAUGCUAUUGGAUGGGAUUUGUUUGAGAGUCGUCGUGAGACAUGAUGAGCCUUUCCUUAGUACUGCUAGAAUCAGACCUGUAAACUUGAGAUUAGGGUUUUAUCAAACACAAGAGUUACCGUCGACAGGAAGAAGACGACUUCUAUAUAUUCGAUAAAAGCGGGAACCCUAAUGAGUUCUUCAAAUAGAAGGAAUGCUCUGAUACCACUUGUUGAGCAUCAACGCUACCGGUUGAUCUAAAACCAAUUGGUGUUAGAAAGGGUGCAACAUUACCCAUAUAGCGCAUUCAGCUCUCCAGGACUAGGCGUUCUAUUGCGGCACUCUAGGCCAUCGUACGAGGACUUGGUUGAUGGCAUUUCUGACCCCCAACAAUCCCCCCCCCCUUAGAAAUUGCUCCCUGAGAGAAUAGAACCCUAGCCACUGGCUCUGAUACCAAUUGUUAGAACAAUAUUCUAGUAUGAUAGAUAGAUUCUAAACAGAAGAAUCAGAACAGUAAUGUAAAUAACACAAGAAUGGAUCAAACGUUGUCGAAUGAUUAAACUUUAACACCUCGGAAGAGCUCGAUUAAGAACUUUGACUGUAGAGGUGUUUAGGGUUACAAUAAUGUUAUUAAUGAGAACGAUAAUCUUUACGCUAUACAUGCAUGCUUUAUAAAUAGCUUAAACCUAAUCAAUGAUCACGGAUGGACAGGCCCAAUCCGGAUAUAGAAAAUAGUAAGCCCAAUGACGCAACAUCAAAAUACCCGACAAAUUCCAUCAGAUCUGGGAUCAUUAAGGGUUGUUAUUGUUGGAUUAAUGUCUAAGUCCAUAACUAUAAUUAGUAAGACUUGACCUGACCCGGCAUGGUCCAUUUGGGUUGCAUGGCAUCAUGCAUUUGGAUAGACUAAAAUGAGAGAAAUAACACUUGAAGUUGGUUAAUAUAUUAUAAGUUCUAAUAUAUUAAUAAGAUUAUUUAAUUAGUAUUGAUCAAGAAUUAAUCUAGAAUUAAUUAAGUGAUCAAAAGAAGACUAAUUAAAUAUAUGGGUUGAUUGUGUAAAUCAUCCAUACUUGUAUAGUGGGCUAAUGCUCCAUGGAUUGUCAAGUUGGGCUAAAACCCAUAAGAUGCUCCAUGGAAUAUUUGUACCCAUGGAUCAUGGAAAUGAAAGGCCAUGACAAUUAGGGUUUACAUGGUGUAACCCUAACUAUAUAAUGAUCUUAUUCUUGGNACCAAAAUCGGCCACUAGUGUGUGUGAAAAAGGGCUAGCCGAUUUUCAAGAAGUGUUCAAGUUUCUCUCUAAGUCUUUCUAAGUGUAUUUGGUGUUGUGUGAACCAUUUGAGGUGUCACACUUGGGGCACUAGGCACUCAAGCUUCAUGAAGACAAUCUACACCAAAAGGUAUGUAAUUCUAACUUGUUAUAUUCAUAUGAAUCAAUGUUAUUAUGCUAGUUAGGAUGAAUACCUUGGAAAGUUCAUAUUUAUAUGUAUUGAUGGGUUUUAGCCAUAAGAACAUCCUAUGUGCUCAUGCAAACCCUAAUGCUUGGAUCUAGGUUUCUCUAUUGUACAUGCAAUUCAUCCAAGACUUUAAACCCUAGAUCUAGCAUACAAUUAAUCAUAUUAACAUAUGAAUGGGGUUUAGAUCUUACCUUGAUUGUUAUGUAGCAAUAACAAUCUCAAAUCCUCCUUGUAAUGACUUUAGAAAGCUUAGAGUCACAAUUGUCACUCCUCUAAUGGCUCACAAACACCAAGAGCAAGAGGAUGAAGAAUAAGGAGAGAGGAUGUUGCCCAAACGUCCAGAAACCCUAGUGGAACUCUUGGCCAAGUUUUUGGAGCUUAAGGGUACUAUAUGUACAUGUAGGCUAUUAGGGUUCUCAACUAGGAAACCCUAAUCUGACUGCUUAAGCCCUAAGCAGCCCAUGGACCAUUUUAGAAUAUCCCUUGGACGAUUUCUAAUGGGUUUCCCCAUAGAAUUCGUCCAACCUAUUAUUCCAAGGUGAUCCAUAGCCCAAAUGCAAUUAUCUUAUAAUUACAAUUCUAGUCCCUUAAGUUUAAUUAAUCUCUUUUAGCCACAAAACUAAUUAUCAAUUAAUUAUUGACUAAUAUUAAUUAAACAAUAUGAUUUCUCCUUUAAUAUAUUACUCUCAUAAUAUAUUAAUAAAUCAUAAUUAAUCCUCUCUCUCCACAAUUCAUCAUAUCAAGUUGCUUUGGUGAAGGCAACCCAAAAGGACCAUGCACCAUCGGGUCAAGUACAUACCAAAAUAGUUAUGGACUUAGACACUAAUCCAACAAUCUCCCACUUGGAUAAGUCUAAUAACUAUUAUGCGUAUGACUUCAGAUCCUGAUCUGCAAUCGUAGCUUUCCAAAGCCNAAGCCGCUGUCAACUCUGAUCUUAUCAAAUUCGCGUGUCCUUUAGAUAGGGGAUCAUAUAUUCCUCCAUUCUUGAUAUCAUAUAGACUUGAGACAUGAAUUCGAAUCAUUCUCUCUAUACUGUUUCCCGACUUCCGAUUUAUGACGACUGACAACAGACUACAAUUGAACACAUCAAAUUUGUCUCGGCUUGGCCAAGCGCUUAGGUGUCAUCACCAAAUCAUUGAGGGGCCCAAAGAUAUUUCUUUUAUCCUACUUUGGAUAAAAGUAAUGGAUAAAAUUUGAUUCAAUUCUUGCUUGCACUCACUUACCGAAUCACACACAACAAUAUGUUUUAUAACACCAAAUUACUGGUGCGUUUACAUAUUAUCAAUGUGUAACCAACUCGCAAGAUACAACUCACACAUCUCGGUUUCAAGAAUAUAAGAUGUUAUCGUCUCACCAAUCACUCGUGAUACAAUUCAUGAAGUGAUCCAAGUUAGCGUGGGUUUAAUCCAAUGCUCAAAUCAUAUUCAUAAGCACUCAUGAACGUUGCAACAAACAUUUGUUGUCUAAUACACUUUAGACAAUCCACACACAAAUUCACGACAGUUUUCACUCAUACCUACUUCCAACAUAUGAACGACUGUUGUCCGUUCGAAUAAUUUGAUUAUUCUAAAAAUAAUUAUUCAGGAAGUCAAAACAUGCAAAGUGAAACACAAGAAUAAUACUAAUCCCGUAUGGCCCCAAACUCUGGGUAUAAAUAAAACAUUUUAUUUAAUCACCAUAUUGAUUACUCAUUAUUUGUUGUUUCGGGUAAUCAACUUCUUACUUGAAUUAUUACUACACUUGUCCCAUGCUCUUAGCAUGCACACAAUGUUUACCUACGGUCCUUACUUUGUGAAAUAGAUCAAAUGAACACAUUUCCAAUCAUACUCAUUUCACAACUCCCAAUCCUUUUCACAAGUGAAAGAAUAUCAAAUUCUUGCCACUUAUAGAAUAUGCUAGAUUCUAACAUUUUAUGCAAUGAUCCUUUUGUAAUGUCAUAGCACAAAAAUCACAAUGACUACUGCUAAUGAAAUUACAAAGUUCUCUAUUUGUGAUUGUUACAAUACAAUUCCAUAGACGUGAUGUCUCUCACUCAAAGUACAUUCUUUUGAACAUCCUUUUGCAUAAAAUUUUCUAAUCUAGACGUAGACUCUCAAUAUCUAACUCUUAAUAUGGAAACAUUUCCAUAUUUGCCAUAUGACAACUCAUUCUUAAUAGAAUCUUAUCUAUUCAUAAUAAUGUCGAUAUGGUCCAUCCUAUACCAUACUUCCAACUACUCACAAGCGACCAAUCCUCAGCGAGCUUUGGAUCGUCCUUUGAUAGUUGUUUAAUUAUCUUAGUCAAAACCGAUUCUUGUCCUUUUUCCCUCUAAAUGCGCUAGACAUUUGGAAAAUUUUAGAAUGGUCAAAUAUUAUAGCACUUGCAAUCGAUCCUAUACCCGAAGCGUAUGAGACACGAUGCAUAGUGUCUUAGAUAAAGAUCUGAUACUUUAUCAAUCUUUUGCCAUAAUAUUUUAUGUGUCACGUUUUAACAAUUCGAACUAUGAAGAGGGAUGCCAUGAUCAUAAUCGAAAUUUUGAGAACGCACUAUGUAUCCUUGACUAAAUUUAUUAACAUUCCACAACCUAAGCCUUUAGAUUUGAAAUGAAGCAUAAUAUUCUCUCCCUUAAUUAUAGCAAAACAACUAUUCAACCCUUACGACUUUGCAAAGUAUAACUCUUGUUUUCUAUAAUUAAUAUUGCUAACUUGCAAUACUUGCUUUAAUANUUAAAUAAUCAUACAAGCAUAACAUUUAUGCUCCCACUAUCAUGAUGAUUAUUACAAGCAUAACACUUAUGCUCCCACUAGCUUUGACAUGUAUUUAGAAAUAUAGCUUAACUUUCAGAAAACAAUUCUAGUUGAAUUUCUUAAGUUCAUAUUUGUAAUACCUAAUGCUUUGAUAAUCCUUUAUCUAAGCUUAUACACCUUUUCCUUAGAUAGCUCAUAUGUGUGUCUAAACAAUUCAGACUAAUUGCCAAAUCUCACAAUUCGAAUCAUGGAAAGGGAUACCGUAACCAUAAUCGAAUUCGAGAAUACAAUUUCACAAUCACUAUCUUCUUAAAAUCUCUCUUAGUGAAAGCAUUUCCUCACAGUCAUUUUCAUGAAGGAGGGAAUCUUAUGACACUUAGAUUUUAAUGGUGUAUGUGUUCCUAUCCAUGCGAAUUUGUCAAAACCAAAGUUUGCGACAAAUCCAAACUCAUAUGGACCGAACUUUCUCAAUCUUGAUUUCUUGCCUUAUGGUAACACGAGUGUCCACCAUGUCUUCCAAGUAGUUAAGCAGCUCACCCUUUCCUAUCAAUGUACUUUCCAUUGAUCAAGGUGCUUGCAUUUUAUGCAUUCAAAUGAGAACUCAUAGAAUUCACAUGCAUAAUUAACUCAAUUGGAACGAUCACAAAAACAAGAUAGUGUCGACACGAUAGGUUGUGAACCUCAAGUCGUGUGCUAGUGAUGAUCGAUAAGGUUUAUUCUUGAUUUGUUCUUGAAACCUUUCAAGACCAUUGAGACUCCCACUGACUCCUUGACAUAUAAGAUUCUCUUGUCAAUAAACAUUUCUUGACAAACAAAUAUUCAAGAGUUAGUGUAGCUUUUAUCAAGACAAAACACUUCACAAAAUUGGUCCUAGUUGGUCUUUGNGUGCAGUAAUAAGAAAACCUUUUUCAAAUUCCACAUUUGAUGAAUGUUAUAAACCUUCUUAAGACUUGUUACUCAAUGUCACAAUCUUAACUCUAAGACUUGUUUUGGAACGAAGUAUGAUUGACUUCUUGAUUUAACCAUUUCUUCAAUUCUUGAUUCUUCUUCUCAAACAUACAAUUGUACUAAGACUCACUUAGCGGAUCAAUUGAGAUAUGGUUCUUAAUCAUUAAGACCUAUCAUAAAACAUAAUAAAAGGUACUCUCCCUUCUUCUUAGAAUGGAGAAACUUUUAUUUUUCUGCCUACUUGAUUCUUCUUAUCCGUUCUGCUAUUGAUUGAAACUCUUUCAAUCAACUCAAAAUUACACUUAAUCUUAUAAGUAUAAUCAUAUUUACUAAACCUUUAGUAAAUCAUGAAGAAUAUCUUUGUCACUCUUGUGGUGGACUUGAUCAACACACAACUUUCUGUACUCGAUCUCCUAGUCAUUCACUUGACACUUUGUCAACGAAUUAGUCUAAUUUCCAAAUAUGAAAUUUCUCAUUCAUCAUGCAACCAAGUUGCAUGAUUCCAAGUUUAUGUCCAAUUGAAACUUGGGCGAUGAGAAACUCUCCCUAUUUGGUAAAUUCUUGACAUUUCCACAAAUAACAUAAUUAAGAAUCAAAUUCAUUAUUGCUAAAACCUUCAAACAUCAAUUUUUCAUACACGCCAUUGCAAGGAAAAACAAAUAAUAUAAAAUGAAAAUUUAUUUUAUUGCGGAAAACUUGUCCUUACAAUGCAAUUCAUUGAAAACUAUGUUAAUACAUAUCUCUUAGCAAUCUUAUUCUAACUCUAAGUAGUAGCUCAAGAAUCCAAUCUUCAAGCAAUGCGAUCAAAAUCCAUUUCUUCACGAUUAAAUUCCGCUCACUUCUUCCCUUAAGCUUCCUCUCUUUUCUUUGAUCCUACAAAACAUCAAUUGCAAUCUUAUCACAUCAUGUAUUAAGAUUCUAUAAUAGGAACUUAAAAGAGUUAGUUAAUGGAUUUUACCUAAAGCAGAGCCAUACGCUUUGACUCUCCCAUCUCUUACAUCUCUUAGGUAAAUAGGGCAGCUUUGUCUCCAAUGCCCCUUCUCUUGGCAAUAGAAGCAAAUUGACUCUUUUGGAACAGCACGGGGAACUAAUUCAGACUUUGCCUUUCUCUUAUGAUCAAACUUUUUGACCAUGGCAUGCCUUUUGUUGCCAUUGCCUAUAUCCAUAGAGGUCUGGAAGGCAAAUUCACCAAUCAACUUUGCUUUUCCAUUGCGCCAAACCAUUGCUGAUUCAGCAGCAAUAAGCAUGUAGGUGAGAUCUAUAAGGGUCACGUCAUGGUUAAUCAUAUAGUACUCUCUUACGAACUCACUAUAUGAGUUAGGAAGUGACUGAAGAACCCAGUCAACAGCCAGCUCCUCACAGACAACGGAUCCCAACAUUCUAAAACUAUCAAUGUGUGACUUCAUCUCUAGGACGUGUGCACACACCGACUUUCCUUCUUCAUGUUUACUUGCCAAAAGGGCUUGAGUAAGCUUGAACUUUUCAAGCCUUCGAACUUGUGAGUUAGGGAGAAUAAUUGGAGGAGGUGGAGGAAGUAAAGCAUGAUCUCUUGUUCCUUGAUCGAAUCGUGGAAUAUCAUCUUCAUGUGGAAAGCUUGUUCCACGGGAUUUGGGAAUACCAUAGUUGUCGUACUUUGACAUCUACAAAACGGGAGAAAAAAUUCAAGUUAAGUUGAUUGAUUGAGUCCUUAAUAAAUCACCCAAAUGAGAUACUAAGGCUAGGACCCCAACACAAUAUUCCGCAACUUGGGAGAGGGAUGUUGUAACCCAAAUUGCAGAACAUUUGAAGGUAAGUGAAUGACGAUUCACUAAUUUUCCACCAUGAAAAAAUGAAAAACAGAUUAAGUUUUAAAUGUUUUUGAAAACUCCUAGAUCCUUUGAGAUUCAUUGAACUUUUCAAUCGCAUGUUUAAAUCUUGAUAUGCCCCUCGAUUUGUGACUGGUAUGCCGAGGAUCACAAAACAGCGUGUGAAUAACCAUGCAAACUUACAUGGUGCCCCCACAUGUUACAGUCACCUAUUCGAUGUACCGGUUAACCACACACGCUCCACCGAACUAUGACAAACAUUGAGUCACCCUUUGCUACCUUUUCUUAGAACCAUUUAGUGUGCCGGUUAACCACACACGCUCCACUAACUUCUUCGCAAGGGCAUAAAGUGUAAUUUCAUGGAAUUGCAUCAAUUCACUUUUGCCUAAAGUAACUAAGAUUGGGAAUUUGUAAAACAUUUAGUUACUUUUGUACUUCAUUAUACUUAUAAUGGAAGGUUUCUGUCCUAUCCUACCCGUUCGGCUAACGACCCUCCACUAGUCAAGAGUGCGGUGGGUAAGAGUGGAUACCCAUUCAAUCGCCAUUUUAUAGGCAAUUUCCUUAAACACCCCUUAUAGACCAGCUUCGUGAAUGAGGCCUACUAACGGUAAGACUGACUUUUACUCAUACAUAUAUAUAAUAUUAGACUUUUAAUGUUAUAUAUAGUAUAGGGUGUAUUUUACACUUUUAAAAUACUAGGUGGUCAAAUUUAAUAAUUAUACUUUUAAUUUAAUUAAAUUGUAAACCAAAACUUUAUGGAUUUAUUAAAUCUCUUUUAAUUAUACACUUUAAUUAAUUAAUAAAACCAUAAGGGUGUGAUUUGAACUUUUCAAAACAAUACUAGGGUUUUAGAAUUUAACAUUUCUAAAUUAACUUUUAAUCAACUUUUAAAUUCAAAAACUUGAGGGCAAGUUUUGAAACAUUUCAAAACAUUAGGGUUUUAACUAUUUAAAUUUCAUAACAAAAUCUUUAAGUUCAAAUUUAAACCAUAAAACUUACAUGGGCACAAUUGAAACUUUUUCACAACACAAGGAUCAAAUAACAAAUAAUAGAAAUUAAACAAUUAAUUUUGUCAUUAUCUAUAUUUGACCUAAUCCCAUAAGAUAAUUACCAAAUAAUUUAAAUAAGGGUUUAGGUCAUUUUUGGUCACUUAACUUUUGUUUUUGUGCUCAUUUGGUCACUUAACUCUUUUUAAGUUUUAAAAGGUCAUUAAACUUUUGGCUUUCUGCUCAUUUAGUCACUUAACUUUUGGUUUGGUUAGAUUUAGUCACCUAACUUUUAAAAUUGUGCUCAUUUAGUCACUAAACUUUUAAAUUUUUUCAAAAGUUUAGUGACUAAAUGAGCACAAUUUUAAAAGUUAGGUGACUAAAUGAUCACAAAUCUAAAAGUUAAGUGACCAAAUCAAAAGUUAAGUGACUAAAUGAGCACAAAAUCAAAAGUUUGAUGACCAUUUCAAACUUAAAAAGAGUUAAGUGACCAAAUGAGCAUAAAACCAAAAGUUAAGUGACCAAAAAUGACCUAAACCCUUUAAAUAAUCCAUAUUUAUCAUAUAAUGAAACUAUUAUUCAAAAGAUUUGAAAUUAUCUUUUGUUUUAUGAAGGAUAAUCAUCCAAAUACAAUAAAAAUCAGAUUUUAUCAUAAAAAUACGUUUUUGGUAUUAAUCCUUCAGCAAAACAGCAAUAAAUCCCGAUAUUCCCUUUGUCUGACCCCUGGACUCGCCGAGUCAGGGACUGGACUCGCCGAGUCAGACAGACUCGCCGAGUUCAUCCAUUGACUCGCCGAGUCAGGUCGUGCAGAAGCCAAAAAAUCGAUUUUCAGUUAAUAAUUCAACAUAGCAUCACAUACAACAGAAACCAAUCAAGGCUCUGAUACCACUGAUGGGUUUUAGCCAUAAGAACAUCCUAUGUGCUCAUGCAAACCCUAAUGCUUGGAUCUAGGUUUCUCUAUUGUACAUGCAAUGUAUCCAAGACUUACAAUCUUAGAUCUAACAUAUUAUAAACUGAAAUUAGGGUUUAGAGAAUUACCUUUGAUUGUUAUGUAGCAAUAACAAUCUCAAAUCCUCCUUGUAAUGACUUUAGAAAGCUUAGAGUCACAAUUGUCACUCCUCUAAUGGCUCACAAACACCAAGAGCAAGAGGAUGAAGAAUAAGGAGAGAGGAGGCUGCCCAAAACGUCCAGAAACCCUAGUGGAACUCUCAGCCACGUUUUUGGGGCUUAAGGGUACUAUAUAUACAUGUAGGCUAUUAGGGUUUUCAACUAGGAAACCCUAAUCUGACUGCUUAAGCCCUAAGCAGCCCAUGGACCCUUUUAGAAUAACCCUUGGACGAUUUCUAAUGGGUUUCCCCAUAGAAUUCGUCCAACCUAUUAUUCCAAGGUGAUCCAUAGCCCAAAUGCAAUUAUCUUAUAAUUACAGUUCCAGUCCCUUAAGUUUAAUUAAUCUCUUUUAGCCACAAAAUUAAUUAUCAAUUAAUUCUUGACUAAUAUUAAUUAAACAAUAUGAUUUCUCCUUUAAUAUAUUAUUCUCAUAAUAUAUUAAUAAAUCAUAAUUAAUCCUUUCUCUCCAUAAUUCAUCCUAUCAAGUUGCUUUGGUGAAGGCAACCCAAAAGGACCAUGCACCAUCGGGUCAAGUACAUACCAAAAUAGUUAUGGACUUAGACACUAAUCCAACAUGUAUAAUAGAGAAAACAUAGAUCCAAGGUAUUUAGGGUUGCAUGUACACUUAGGAGUGUUAGAAUGCUUAAAACCCAACAGUGGUAUCAAAGCCUAGGCUUGUUUUCUUGUUAUACUUGCAAAAGUUGGCUAAAAAUCGAAGUUUUUUGCUGUCUGGGCAACAGACUCGUCGAGUCCAUCAAGAGACUCGACAAGUCCAUGCCUAAAAAGUGAGCAAAACUAUCCAACUCACCGAGUUGGUUCAUGCACUCGACGAGUUGGACCCCCAGACAACAUAUCUUCGACCUUUUUGGCUGGAAUUGGACUUGGAACAUUACCCUAAGAUGUUUUUGGACUUAUAAACUUGUUUUUGAUGUAGUAAUGUUCAUGCUAAUCCAAUUUCAAAGAUAUUUGUCAAUAGAAUCAUGAUUUGUAUUAGUUUAAUGGUUAGACUAAUUUCAUGAAAAAGUGUUUGACUUGAAAUAUCAUGUUCAUAUGAGUUGCUUAGAUUAAUAGGGAAGUUGUGUGAAACUGUUGUUUUCAAUCCAUUUUAAUCUAAGAGUAGAUUCUAAAAUGUGUUUGUGUAACUUGUCCUCAAGUUACAUGAAAAGUUACAUUAAAGUUUCUUAAAACUCAUAAAAAUCAUAAAAUGUGUUUGUGUAACUUGUCCUCAAGUUACAUGAAAAGUUACAUUAAAUAUCAUAUUCAUAUGAGUUGCUUAGAUUAAUAGGGAAGUUGUGUGAAUGUUUUUAUGACUCCAGAACUUGUCCUCAAGUUAUGGAGGUUUAAGAGUCACUUCAUUAAAAUAAAAAUGUGUAACCUUAAUUAGUUCCAUAAGUUAAAAAAAAAAGGAACAAGAGUUACAUUCUUUUAUUAGUUUAAAGUCUUCCAUAACUUGUCCUCAAGUUAUGGAACUUGGAGAGUUUUUUCAUUAAAGCUACUUUAAACACAUAAGUUAUGGAAUUAAUUAGUUUUGAAUAGUUUCAAAACUUGCCCUCGAGUUUUGGAAUCUGUAAAGUUUCCUCUCGAAUACUUUAAUUCCAAGUUAAGCCCUUAGAAUUUUAAAAGUUAAAAUUCAACCCUUAUACUUUAUAAUAUAAUAAGUUAAUUUUAUAUAUAUAUNNNNNNNNNNNNNNNNNNNNNNNNNNNNNNNNNNNNNNNNNNNNNNNNNNNNNNNNNNNNNNNNNNNNNNNNNNNNNNNNNNNNNNNNNNNNNNNNNNNNNNNNNNNNNNNNNNNNNNNNNNNNNNNNNNNNNNNNNNNNNNNNNNNNNNNNNNNNNNNNNNNNNNNNNNNNNNNNNNNNNNNNNNNNNNNNNNNNNNNNNNNNNNNNNNNNNNNNNNNNNNNNNNNNNNNNNNNNNNNNNNNNNNNNNNNNNNNNNNNNNNNNNNNNNNNNNNNNNNNNNNNNNNNNNNNNNNNNNNNNNNNNNNNNNNNNNNNNNNNNNNNNNNNNNNNNNNNNNNNNNNNNNNNNNNNNNNNNNNNNNNNNNNNCCAUGAAAUUACACUUUACACUUUGUUUAAGUCGUUAGUGGAGCGUGUGUGGUUAACCGGCACACUAACUUGGAUUUAACAAGGUAGGCAAAGGAUAACUUAUUGCUUAUCAUAGUGUCGAUGGAGCGUGUGUGGUUAACCGGCACAUCGAUUAAGGGGUAAACAUUUAAGGGUACCAAGUAAUUUGCAUGGUUACUUCACACCUUGUUUUGUGAUCCUCGACAUCCCAGUCACAAAACCUGAAGGGCACACUCGAGAUUGAAACAUGCCUUUGAAAAGUUCAAUGAAUCUCAA